rnacentral:rRNA from 1 species
GACGAACGCUGGCGGCGUGCCUAAUACAUGCAAGUCGAGCGAAUGGAUGGGAGCUUGCUCCCUGAAGUUAGCGGCGGACGGGUGAGUAACACGUGGGCAACCUGCCUGUAAGACUGGGAUAACUUCGGGAAACCGGAGCUAAUACCGGAUACAUUCUUUCUUCGCCUGAAGAAAGAUGGAAAGAUGGUUUCGGCUAUCACUUACAGAUGGGCCCGCGGCGCAUUAGCUAGUUGGUGAGGUAACGGCUCACCAAGGCAACGAUGCGUAGCCGACCUGAGAGGGUGAGCGGCCACACUGGGACUGCGACACGGCCCAGACUCCUACGGGAGGCAGCGGUAGGGAAUCUUCCGCAAUGGACGAAAGUCUGACGGAGCAACGCCGCGUGAGCGAAGAAGGCCUUCGGGUCGUAAAGCUCUGUUGUUAGGGAAGAACAAGUACCAGAGUAACUGCUGGUACCUUGACGGUACCUAACCAGAAAGCCACGGCUAACUACGUGCCAGCCGCCGCAGUAAGAC